rnacentral:rRNA from 1 species
UUAAGUUAUUAAGGGCGCACGGUGGAUGCCUUGGCACUAGAAGCCGAUGAAGGACGUUACUAACGACGAUAUGCUUUGGGGAGCUGUAAGUAAGCUUUGAUCCAGAGAUUUCCGAAUGGGGAAACCCAACAUGAGUUAUGUCAUGUUAUCGAUAUGUGAAUACAUAGCAUAUCAGAAGGCACACCCGGAGAACUGAAACAUCUUAGUACCCGGAGGAAGAGAAAGAAAAUUCGAUUCCCUUAGUAGCGGCGAGCGAAACGGGAAGAGCCCAAACCAACAAGCUUGCUUGUUGGGGUUGUAGGACACUCUAUACGGAGUUACAAAGGACGACAUUAGACGAAUCAUCUGGAAAGAUGAAUCAAAGAAGGUAAUAAUCCUGUAGUCGAAAAUGUUGUCUCUCUUGAGUGGAUCCUGAGUACGACGGAGCACGUGAAAUUCCGUCGGAAUCUGGGAGGACCAUCUCCUAAGGCUAAAUACUCUCUAGUGACCGAUAGUGAACCAGUACCGUGAGGGAAAGGUGAAAAGCACCCCGGAAGGGGAGUGAAAUAGAACCUGAAACCGUGUGCUUACAAGUAGUCAGAGCCCGUUAAUGGGUGAUGGCGUGCCUUUUGUAGAAUGAACCGGCGAGUUACGAUUUGAUGCAAGGUUAAGCAGUAAAUGUGGAGCCGUAGCGAAAGCGAGUCUGAAUAGGGCGUUUAGUAUUUGGUCGUAGACCCGAAACCAGGUGAUCUACCCUUGGUCAGGUUGAAGUUCAGGUAACACUGAAUGGAGGACCGAACCGACUUACGUUGAAAAGUGAGCGGAUGAACUGAGGGUAGCGGAGAAAUUCCAAUCGAACCUGGAGAUAGCUGGUUCUCUCCGAAAUAGCUUUAGGGCUAGCCUCAAGUGAUGAUUAUUGGAGGUAGAGCACUGUUUGGACGAGGGGCCCCUCUCGGGUUACCGAAUUCAGACAAACUCCGAAUGCCAAUUAAUUUAACUUGGGAGUCAGAACAUGGGUGAUAAGGUCCGUGUUCGAAAGGGAAACAGCCCAGACCACCAGCUAAGGUCCCAAAAUAUAUGUUAAGUGGAAAAGGAUGUGGCGUUGCCCAGACAACUAGGAUGUUGGCUUAGAAGCAGCCAUCAUUUAAAGAGUGCGUAAUAGCUCACUAGUCGAGUGACACUGCGCCGAAAAUGUACCGGGGCUAAACAUAUUACCGAAGCUGUGGAUUGUCCUUUGGACAAUGGUAGGAGAGCGUUCUAAGGGCGUUGAAGCAUGAUCGUAAGGACAUGUGGAGCGCUUAGAAGUGAGAAUGCCGGUGUGAGUAGCGAAAGACGGGUGAGAAUCCCGUCCACCGAUUGACUAAGGUUUCCAGAGGAAGGCUCGUCCGCUCUGGGUUAGUCGGGUCCUAAGCUGAGGCCGACAGGCGUAGGCGAUGGAUAACAGGUUGAUAUUCCUGUACCACCUAUAAUCGUUUUAAUCGAUGGGGGGACGCAGUAGGAUAGGCGAAGCGUGCGAUUGGAUUGCACGUCUAAGCAGUAAGGCUGAGUAUUAGGCAAAUCCGGUACUCAUUAAGGCUGAGCUGUGAUGGGGAGAAGACAUUGUGUCUUCGAGUCGUUGAUUUCACACUGCCGAGAAAAGCCUCUAGAUAGAAAAUAGGUGCCCGUACCGCAAACCGACACAGGUAGUCAAGAUGAGAAUUCUAAGGUGAGCGAGCGAACUCUCGUUAAGGAACUCGGCAAAAUGACCCCGUAACUUCGGGAGAAGGGGUGCUCUUUAGGGUUAACGCCCAGAAGAGCCGCAGUGAAUAGGCCCAAGCGACUGUUUAUCAAAAACACAGGUCUCUGCUAAACCGUAAGGUGAUGUAUAGGGGCUGACGCCUGCCCGGUGCUGGAAGGUUAAGAGGAGUGGUUAGCUUCUGCGAAGCUACGAAUCGAAGCCCCAGUAAACGGCGGCCGUAACUAUAACGGUCCUAAGGUAGCGAAAUUCCUUGUCGGGUAAGUUCCGACCCGCACGAAAGGCGUAACGAUUUGGGCACUGUCUCAACGAGAGACUCGGUGAAAUCAUAGUACCUGUGAAGAUGCAGGUUACCCGCGACAGGACGGAAAGACCCCGUGGAGCUUUACUGUAGCCUGAUAUUGAAAUUCGGCACAGCUUGUACAGGAUAGGUAGAAGCCUUUGAAACGUGAGCGCUAGCUUACGUGGAGGCGCUGGUGGGAUACUACCCUAGCUGUGUUGGCUUUCUAACCCGCACCACUUAUCGUGGUGGGAGACAGUGUCAGGCGGGCAGUUUGACUGGGGCGGUCGCCUCCUAAAAGGUAACGGAGGCGCUCAAAGGUUCCCUCAGAAUGGUUGGAAAUCAUUCAUAGAGUGUAAAGGCAUAAGGGAGCUUGACUGCGAGACCUACAAGUCGAGCAGGGUCGAAAGACGGACUUAGUGAUCCGGUGGUUCCGCAUGGAAGGGCCAUCGCUCAACGGAUAAAAGCUACCCCGGGGAUAACAGGCUUAUCUCCCCCAAGAGUUCACAUCGACGGGGAGGUUUGGCACCUCGAUGUCGGCUCAUCGCAUCCUGGGGCUGUAGUCGGUCCCAAGGGUUGGGCUGUUCGCCCAUUAAAGCGGUACGCGAGCUGGGUUCAGAACGUCGUGAGACAGUUCGGUCCCUAUCCGUCGUGGGCGUAGGAAAUUUGAGAGGAGCUGUCCUUAGUACGAGAGGACCGGGAUGGACAUACCUCUGGUGUACCAGUUGUCGUGCCAACGGCAUAGCUGGGUAGCUAUGUGUGGACGGGAUAAGUGCUGAAAGCAUCUAAGCAUGAAGCCCCCCUCAAGAUGAGAUUUCCCAACUUCGGUUAUAAGAUCCCUCAAAGAUGAUGAGGUUAAUAGGUUCGAGGUGGAAGCAUGGUGACAUGUGGAGCUGACGAAUACUAAUCGAUCGAAGACUUAAUCAA